GACGAACGCUGGCGGCGUGCUUAACACAUGCAAGUCGAACGGAAAGGCCUGCUUUCCCUUGUGUAUUGCGGGUACUCGAGUGGCGAACGGGUGAGUAACACGUGAGUGAUCUGCCCCCAACUUGGGUAUAAGCCUGGGAAACUGGGUCUAAUUCCCGAUAGGACUGCAGGGUGGUGCCUGUGGUGGAAAACGAUUUUCUAGUGGUUGGGGAUGAGCUCGCGGCCUAUCAGCUUGUUGGUGGGGUAAUGGCCUACCAAGGCGGCGACGGGUAGCCGGCCUGAGAGGGUGGACGGCCACAUUGGGACUGGGAUACGGCCCAGACGCCUACGGGAGGCAGGAGUGGGGAAUAUUGCACAAUGGGCGGAAGCCUGAUGCAGCGACGCAGCGUGGGGGAUGACGGCCUUCGGGUUGUAAACUCCUUUCGACCGCGAGGAAGCCACCUGGUUGGAAGGGUGGUGACGGUAGUGGUAGAAGAAGCACCGGCUAACUACGUG
rnacentral:rRNA from 1 species